rnacentral:antisense_RNA from 1 species
UUUCUACAAGUUCCUUUAUUAAUAAAGCAAAAUAGAAAAGAACAAGGUCCCCAAAUGACCCACAUGAUUCAGAGUGCAAAUUUACUCCAACCUGCAAGAGAAAACAAAUGGCAGGUCUUGACUGCGGGGGCCAUGGAAAUUUGGGGUGAUUAAAUUGCCUUUGAAUCAUACAAUUGUAGCAGCUGAACCAUAUCUGAUUAACUCUUUGGUCACUGUUAUUGGAACAAAACCGAUGCUAUGCCUGCAGCCAACAGACUGCAGCCAAAAACACAGUUUGGGGUCAGAAGACAUUAAAAAUCACAAUAAAAUAGGAGGAAUGUUCUAAGUCACGCAACUGAAUCAAGGCACCUUUUUUUUAAAAAGGAAAAAGUUGUUUAACAAUAUUCCAGAACAGUAGAUACUUCAAAAACCAGAUUACAGUAUAUAUCAUUUUGCUGCAUAUUUUAGUCUAUUUUCUGUAUACAUAGUCACACAUUCUUUACCCUCUCCCAACUUAUACAUGCUUUAUCCCCCCUAGUCAUGUGCUAUGUAGGUAUAAAAAAAAAAGUUGUAUCUAAACAAGUGAUUUAAAAAAAAAAAAAAACUAACAAAUGCCACGAUGAUAACACUGAACUUGUUUCCCUCUUGAAGGACAUUGGAAAUGCUACCGAGGUUCAUUUUCCCCACCACUGAAUCAUCUUCCUCCAUGUAGACAAGGAUGAGAAGUCAAAGUCUUCAUCAAGGUCAAAAGCCACAUGUUACAGAAAAAGUGACUUACUCCAUAGAGGUUACAUGAGAUGCUCUGGAAGCACUUAGGUUAAUUCCUUCACAGUGUUUGCUAGGAUGUCAAUUUUGGCAGAGCUGCUGAGUCAGAAAAUGAUAGAGGCCAGCCGCGGUGGCUCACUCACGCCUGUAAUCCCAGCACUUUGGGAGGCCGAGGCAGGAGGAUCACUUGAGCCCAGGAGGUCAAGGCUGCAAUGAGCUGCAAUCUUGCCACUGCACUCCAGCCUGGGCAACAGACCGAGACCCUGUCUCAAAAAACAAAAACAAAAACCUGUGUUCUUAGUAGUUGAAAUGGUACAAGCCUAAGAAGCUUGCACCCCAAAUCCAGCCACCAAUCAUCCCUGUAAAGGCACGAGCUAGGAUACCACUAACCCCC